CCAUCCUGUACCUCAUAUAUCAAUAAAUAAUAAUUGCCUUUGGUUUGUCCAGAUUGACAUCUUCGCUUUAUGGAAAUUUCAACAAAAUCGACAGAUUUUUUGCAUCGAGAUUUUCUCUUGUAUUCAAAUUAAAGAUGCUGGAUUUCAUGAAGAGAUUCGGG